rnacentral:rRNA from 1 species
UACGGGGGGUGCGAGCGUUGUCCGGAAUCAUUGGGCGUAAAGCGCACGUAGGCGGUUCGUUAUGUCGGAUGUGAAAGCCCUUGGCUUAACCGAGGAAGUGCAUCCGAAACUGGCGAGCUAGAGUACUAAAGAGGAUCGCGGAAUUCCCGGUGUAGAGGUGAAAUUCGUAGAUAUCGGGAGGAACACCGGUGGCGAAGGCGGCGAUCUGGGUAGAUACUGACGCUGAGGUGCGAAAGCGUGGGGAGCAAACAGG